AAUAGGUUUGCCUCCCCUGCUAAGGGAGUAGUCGUCUAAAAAGCGAGCGAGAGUUCGAAUCUCUCCUUCCGCGCCA
rnacentral:tRNA from 1 species